UGAUGAAUUGUCCAUCUCUGUACACUGUAACCAUGUCAAGGAGCUGAAUAUGACAUAUGUGCCAAGAUGUCAUGUCAAAGUCAGUGUGGGAAAACCAGUGGUCAACAUUUCCACAAUUUCCUGGUUCUUCGAUCAUGGAUUUAUCAAUGUUUGGAGCUACGAGCUGCAGUGGAAACAACACAACCAGUUAUGGAGCGAUGCUUCAAAGAAUCAAGACCAUCAGGAUAAUGGAGAGUUCAAAGUGGACCUGCCACAACAAAAUUUGAUCAGGGGUGAGAAGUAUGAGGCACGUGUUCGAAUGAAGAGCAAUGAAGAAGGAUUUCUGGGAACCUGGAGUGACUGGAGUCCAACAGUGUCAUGGGUGUCACCAGUUGGGAGAUCAGGACAACCAACAGCAUUUGCUGUGAGUUUUUGGGAAAUGACUGUGGUGGGCGUGGCAGUGGUUGUCUUAAUGCUGAUCGUGGUUCUCCAUAGGAAGGACAAAACCAUCUGGGUUUACCUGGUAAAGAAGAUUCAGGGAGCACCUGUACCAAACCCAGCAAAUUCCUUUCUACAAAAGAGUUGGCUGAAUCCACCUUUUCCCACUGAGUCCUUUCUGGCCUUCCUGCAGCCAGAGGUCGUGUCAGUGGAGGUUACUUCACCAGUAGACGCUGUCACCUGCUGCAGACUGAACACAGACAUGGGAGAGCGACACUUUUCCAACCCCACGUACUCCAUGCUUUACGCUCUGUCUCCCACUUCCUCUAACGCUGAUGGGAACCUGGAUCCAUGUCCGUCAGACUCACCGUACGGACCAGUCGUCAGCAAAGACCAGGAACAAAGCCCAGCGUGUGACGGCACUGAAGUGGAGACUUUGGAGUUGCAUUCCAAAGAGUCAGGACAGAUGAUUUUGGUUCUUGACAAAGCCCCGAGGCCACGACUUGAGCUUCUCCGACUCCAAAGCCUGGACUCAGGUGUGUGCACCAGUGAACAGGUGAGUGAGGAGAGCAUGGAGGCCGACAGCAUCGACCAGCAGCUACAAACUAAAGCCCGUUCCGACUCGUUGCUCAGUGCAGCUUGUGUUGGCACACGGUCCAUUCAGCUGUAUUAUGACUAUGAGUCGACUGAGAAGCAGGAGGACCAAAGUCUGACGUUCCCUCAUCAGGAUUUAGACAAACAGGAGGAUGAAUCUGCAGAAUCAGCACAUCUUCUGCUACCUCAUCCUUCUACUUCAGGACAUUUUUCUUUGCUGACUUUGUUACACACGCCAUCCUGUUCUACAGGUUUGGCUCCAUCUCUGCAAGCGUUUGCUCUGAUGUCAUCUGUGGGGUCCGUAGAACCGGCUGGUGACGGUUACAUGCCUGUGAAACAGGAACACUCAUGAGAACAGAAGGGAAACCAACUUUAAAAGGGCAGUAUUAUGGAAAAAAUCACUUUAUAAUGGCUUUGCUACAGUGAUAUACAUUCCUUUAGCCUCAUUCAGAGGGUCACAGUAGAAAACGUUCUGUUUUUUCCUCCCUUGUUAUUCCACAUUUUGUAAAAAGUCAGCUCCAAAUGGGCCAGUUGGAUUUUUUCUCUUAUAAAGUGAGCUGUCCAAUAAAAGGUGAUGUGUGAACA
rnacentral:lncRNA from 1 species